rnacentral:rRNA from 1 species
CUACGGGGUGCUGCAGUGAGGAAUAUUGCGCAAUGGGGGAAACCCUGACGCAGCGACGCCGCGUGGAUGAUGAAGGCUUUCGGGUCGUAAAAUCCUGUCAGAUGGAAAGAAAUGUAAUCCUGCUAAUACCAUGAUUACUUGACGGUACCAUCAGAGGAAGCACCGGCUAACUCCGUGCCAGCAGCCGCGGUAAUACGGAGGGUGCAAGCGUUGUUCGGAAUUACUGGGCGUAAAGCGCGCGUAGGCGGUUUGUUAAGUCAGAUGUGAAAGCCCAGGGCUCAACCCUGGACGUGCAUUUGAAACUGGCAGACUUGAGUAUUGGAGGGGGUGGUGGAAUUCCCGGUGUAGAGGUGAAAUUCGUAGAUAUCGGGAGGAAUACCGGUGGCGAAGGCGACCACCUGGCCAAAUACUGACGCUGAGGUGCGAAAGCGUGGGGAGCAAACAGGAUUAGAUACCCCCGUAGUC